rnacentral:rRNA from 1 species
CAAUAGCGUAUAUUAAAGUUGUUGCAGUUAAAAAGCUCGUAGUUGGAUUUCUGGAUAGAACGCUUCGUCCGCCGCUGUGCGGUGUGUACUGAGGUUUUGUUUCGAUUCAUCCUUGCAGGGAAGCGAGUUCGAGAUUAAUUUGUCGGCUCGGGGAACUGCAUCUUUUACUGUGAAAAAAUUAGAGUGUUUAAAGCAGGCAUUUUGCUGUGAAUACAUUAGCAUGGAAUAAUAACAUAGGACUUUGGUUCUAUUUUGUUGGUUGGAGGCCAAGGUAAUGAUUAAUAGGGACAGUUGGGGGUAUUCAUAUUUAAUUGUCAGAGGUGAAAUUCUUGGAUUUAUGAAAGAUGAACUCAUGCGAAAGCAUUUACCAAGGAUGUUUUCAUUAA